GGAGGGUGCGAGCGUUGUCCGGAAUCACUGGGCGUAAAGGGCGCGUAGGCGGUUCGGUAAGUUGUUGGUGAAAUCCCGGGGCUCAACUCCGGGGCUGCCAGCAAGACUGUCGGACUUGAGCACGGUAGGGGCAGAUGGAAUUCCCGGUGUAGCGGUGGAAUGCGUAGAGAUCGGGAAGAAUACCAGUGGCGAAGGCGUUCUGCUGGGCCGUUGCUGACGCUGAGGCGCGACAGCGUGGGGAGCAAACAGGAUUAGAUACCCUGGUAGUCCACGCCGUAAACGAUGGGCACUAGGCGUCGGGGGGAGCGACCCUCCCGGUGCCGUCGCUAACGCAGUAAGUGCCCCGCCUGGGGAGUACGGCCGCAAGGCUG
rnacentral:rRNA from 1 species